rnacentral:rRNA from 1 species
UUCACCUGCCGAAUCAACUAGCCCUGAAAAUGGAUGGCGCUGGAGCGUCGGGCUCAUACCCGGCCGUCGCCGGCGACAAGAGCCGCGAGGGCUAUGCCGCGAUGAGUAAGAGGGCCGCCGCGGUGCGCAUGGAAGCCUAGGGCGCGAGCCCAGGUGGAGCCGCCGUGGGUGCAGAUCUUGGUGGUAGUA